GGGGAUGUGGUCUAGUGGUAUGACGUUUCCUUAGCAUGCGACGAUAGCUUCAUUGCUAUCCCGAGCAUGGAAAAGGUUCUGGGUUCGAUUCCCAGCCUCUCCA